UACGGGGGGGGCAAGCGUUGUUCGGAAUUACUGGGCGUAAAGGGCUCGUAGGUGGCCAACUAAGUCGGACGUGAAAUCCCUCAGCUUAACUGGGGAACUGCGUCCGAUACUGGAUGGCUCGAGUUUGGGAGAGGGAUGCGGAAUUCCAGGUGUAGCGGUGAAAUGCGUAGAUAUCAGGAGGAACACCUGCGGUGUAGACGGCUUUCUGGACCAUUGCUGACGCUGAGACACGAAAGCGUGGGUAGCAAACAGG
rnacentral:rRNA from 1 species